UACAAGCUGCGCUGUACGCAUUUUUUAUAAAGUUUUAACCUUUAAGCUGAAAUAGGGAGUUUAACAUUGAAGUUGGAAUAUCAGGCCUCCAUUGUGUAGAGGACGAUAUGAAACCUUCUGCGAACACCCACUUGUAGGAGUGGUGGUUUUAAAACUCUAUAAUCCUUGAUGCGGCAAUCGCGGCACUUUA
rnacentral:other from 1 species